UUGAACGCUGGCGGCAGGCCUAACACAUGCAAGUCGAACGGUAACAGGAAACAGCUUGCUGUUUCGCUGACGAGUGGCGGACGGGUGAGUAAUGUCUGGGAAACUGCCUGAUGGAGGGGGAUAACUACUGGAAACGGUAGCUAAUACCGCAUAACGUCGCAAGACCAAAGAGGGGGACCUUCGGGCCUCUUGCCAUCGGAUGUGCCCAGAUGGGAUUAGCUUGUUGGUGGGGUAACGGCUCACCAAGGCGACGAUCCCUAGCUGGUCUGAGAGGAUGACCAGCCACACUGGAACUGAGACACGGUCCAGACUCCUACGGGAGGCAGCAGUGGGGAAUAUUGCACAAUGGGCGCAAGCCUGAUGCAGCCAUGCCGCGUGUAUGAAGAAGGCCUUCGGGUUGUAAAGUACUUUCAGCGGGGAGGAAGGGAGUAAAGUUAAUACCUUUGCUCAUUGACGUUACCCGCAGAAGAAGCACCGGCUAACUCCGUGCCAGCAGCCGCGGUAAUACGGAGGGUGCAAGCGUUAAUCGGAAUUACUGGGCGUAAAGCGCACGCAGGCGGUUUGUUAAGUCAGAUGUGAAAUCCCCGGGCUCAACCUGGGAACUGCAUCUGAUACUGGCAAGCUUGAGUCUCGUAGAGGGGGGUAGAAUUCCAGGUGUAGCGGUGAAAUGCGUAGAGAUCUGGAGGAAUACCGGUGGCGAAGGCGGCCCCCUGGACGAAGACUGACGCUCAGGUGCGAAAGCGUGGGGAGCAAACAGGAUUAGAUACCCUGGUAGUCCACGCCGUAAACGAUGUCGACUUGGAGGUUGUGCCCUUGAGGCGUGGCUUCCGGAGCUAACGCGUUAAGUCGACCGCCUGGGGAGUACGGCCGCAAGGUUAAAACUCAAAUGAAUUGACGGGGGCCCGCACAAGCGGUGGAGCAUGUGGUUUGAUUCGAUGCAACGCGAAGAACCUUACCUGGUCUUGACAUCCACGGAAGUUUUCAGAGAUGAGAAUGUGCCUUCGGGAACCGUGAGACAGGUGCUGCAUGGCUGUCGUCAGCUCGUGUUGUGAAAUGUUGGGUUAAGUCCCGCAACGAGCGCAACCCUUAUCCUUUGUUGCCAGCGGUCCGGCCGGGAACUCAAAGGAGACUGCCAGUGAUAAACUGGAGGAAGGUGGGGAUGACGUCAAGUCAUCAUGGCCCUUACGACCAGGGCUACACACGUGCUACAAUGGCGCAUACAAAGAGAAGCGACCUCGCGAGAGCAAGCGGACCUCAUAAAGUGCGUCGUAGUCCGGAUUGGAGUCUGCAACUCGACUCCAUGAAGUCGGAAUCGCUAGUAAUCGUGGAUCAGAAUGCCACGGUGAAUACGUUCCCGGGCCUUGUACACACCGCCCGUCACACCAUGGGAGUGGGUUGCAAAAGAAGUAGGUAGCUUAACCUUCGGGAGGGCGCUUACCACUUUGUGAUUCAUGACUGGGGUG
rnacentral:rRNA from 1 species